CAGGAUCGCGCCCUGGGCCAAAGGCAGGCGCUAAACGGCUGCGCCACCCAGGGAUCCCCAGUGAUCACAGCCAGCACCGUGGAAAUUGUCAAAAGUACAACAAAAAGUAGAAAGAAUAGUCUAAUUCUAAUGCACCCAUCACCUACCUUCAAAAAUGAGCUAUUCAUGACCAAUCUUGCGAUUCAUCUACUAACUUCCCUGCCUCUCCCACUUGAAUUAUUUUGAAGCUAAUCCCAGACUUUUUACAUCAUUUCAUGUAUAGAUAUUUCAGUAUGUAUGGGUAGGAGCCAAAUAAAUGGUUGAUAAGCCUAUUAAA